rnacentral:misc_RNA from 1 species
CGAGGGAGUGACAAGAAAAUUCUAUCCUGGUGAUCAGCUACCGCUCUGGCACGAGGAAUUAGAGCCUAAAAAUUCGUUACUGGAUGUGCUGAAUGCUUCUAGCCCCGAACCGAUGAACAUAUAAAACUAAUGCAAGGAUCUUUGCCAAAAGUUCUUCUGGUAGUUGUUAUCUGGUUAGGCUAUUCUACUUUUCUGGAAACAAGAGAAAAGAAAAAGAAAG